CACACACAUGGCCACAGUAUGGCACAGAGAUAAUCACACACGUACUUAUCCCCUGACUGCACCGCGGCCCCUGGCUCGGGCCCCUGGCUCGGGCCCCUGGCUCGGCACUCUGUGCUGGGCUCCAAACCGCCGCCGCCAACCAGGGGCCCCUACUGGUCGAGCUGGGAGGGUGCGGCGGGCCGACUGGGAGGCCUCACGCCGUUCCCAGCGGAGCGCUUCGAGGAGAACCGGAACCCGCCGCCAAACGCCGACGGGGCCCCAGUGCCCCCACGCCCACCGACCGACUCUGGGGCCGUGGGGAGACCGAGCGCUCCGAGGGGCCCCAGGGUCCUGGAGGAAAAGGACCCACAGCAAUAACUGGUCUUGAGGGAGCGCAGAACGCCUCGUCCGACGCCGCAGCACCGUAUGAGGUCCACAGCCCGCCUCCCGGUCGACCCCGAAUCACUGUCCAGUCCGCUUGGUUUUUAUGUUCAAUUUUGUUGUUUUCUUUUCUGUGUGGACUCUUCAGCCAUUGUAGCCUUUGAGCUAUCAGUCUUUUCUUCAGCCUUUGUGUCUUUCAAUCAAUCCCUCCCCCCUCCUCCCCAACCACAUUUUGUGACCUCCUAUUGUAGUUUCCUUCCUUCCUACCUUCCUUCCUUGGUCUGCUCUUCUUCCCUAACGUUUUCGUUUCCCUUCCGCUCCUCAUCCGCUUUCCUCUCCUUUCGCUUACUUUCCUCUCCUCCUCCUCCAUCCUCUCUCCUCUCCCCUCCUUUCCAUCCUGUGUCCUCUCUCCUACUCUCCCAUCUCUCCCCCUCCAAACUCCCCCCUCACCACUUCCUCCACUGAGCAGCUGAUGAGUCUUUGUUUCUUCUUUGUGUGGGGAAAACGAAUCCUUCAAACGGAGAAAGCGACUAAAUAAAAAACUGAAGAGGAUGACACAAAACGAUGACACUAAUCUCUUGUCGAGUGGACCCCCUCCCCCCGUCUCCCUCUCCCCCCUGCGGCUUUUUCGUGUGUCCGGCUUUAAUUUACUGCUGAACUAUUAUUCUUGUACAGACUGUAAAAUGUAUUAUUUUGUACAACUUUAUUGAUAAAAACAUGAACUUUUAGAAGAUCCCUGUGCCUUGAUCACGGCUGUACGUGUAUAAUGAGCUAACGUGGGAGUCCCACUGCGCUGUAUAGCUUGGCCAAUCCCUUCCCCCCUAACUGUCCACCCGUUACCGGCCUCUCUCUCUCUCUCUCUCUCUCUCUCUCUCUCUCUCUCUCUCUCUCUCUCUAUGUCUCUUUUUUUCUCUCUCUUUCUCUCUCUCUUUUUCUGUCUC
ensembl:lncRNA